UUUUUUAAGUUAAUUAUAUUUGGAGGUAUUUUACAAUGCUCAUGACGCGUUUGAAUAAGACAUUUUCUUUGUAUUGUAUUUCCUAAUAGAAGUGUCUACAAAACUUAUUUUCUUAUGUGUUUAACUGAUGUCAGCCAACCUUUCCUGAUCUACUUCCUGGGUGUUUACUUUGGUUCUCCUAAGAAGGAACUCCAUUAAGACAAAGGCAGUUUUGCCACUGUCUUGUGUUAGUCGGACACUAAUAAUAGUUCUCGUCCCUUUCUGAGGUCUUUUAGAGACUGAACUCCGUAUCUUAGUGUCUUGACCUGGUUCUACUCGGUUUGGGACAAUAGCUUGGAGGCUGGGUCCUCCCUGCCUCUCAGGCAAAGGAGGUCUGACCUGGUUCUCAUAGUCCUCAACUAAUCCAGGUGUCACUGAAUGUGGGUAACAACUGACCCCCCCCCCCCCCGGCCCUGGCACCACUGGCCCACUUGCAGUUUUCAGCCGUGAACCAGUAGUAACCAAGGUGAUCGUGUCCAGCGCUCGGAACUUGCGUGUGGUCAAAAGGUUCUGAGAGCCAUUGUGAGUCACCGUGACACCUCUGGGCUUAGCCAGUCAGGCCCUGGGGCUCAGGGCAGGAAGGAUAAGACAAGGAGGAGAAGAAUCCUCUCUCUCACUCCUUGACCUCUCUUCCAGACGUUCCUGAAGCGAGCUCGGUGGUCUGAGAGGGAACAAGGCAGAUAAAGCGAUCUCUGAGGACUCCCCUGGAAACAGGAGUGGUGCUCCUUCGUGAAGCCGUCUGUGGCGUCAGCGAGUCAUGGAGAAAGAAAAACCUGAAGUGAAACCCAGCACACCCGCACCCAGCAACGAGGAGAACACACCUAGACCCUCCAAACGCCCCAGGCCUUCCCAAAAUAUUGUGUGCUUUUUACUGAAUAGGCAGCUGGGGAGGCACAGAAGUGACGUGGACCUGUCCAUGUGGGUGUGGAUGCUGGACUGAGCCACGCCCCGGUGCAGGUGGCCCCUUCCAAACAACCAUGGGUCUUGCCUGCUCACCCCCACCCCCACCCCCACCCCCAACCCCACCUCUUGAAAAUGCGAAAGAAAAAUUGAUUUAAAAUAACAAACACCUCUCUCGUGUCAGCUCUUGAAAUAAAAGCUACGUUUUCCUC